rnacentral:rRNA from 1 species
AGUGAACGCUGGCGGUAGGCCUAACACAUGCAAGUCGAACGGCAGCACAGUAAGAGCUUGCUCUUACGGGUGGCGAGUGGCGGACGGGUGAGGAAUACAUCGGAAUCUACUUUUUCGUGGGGGAUAACGUAGGGAAACUUACGCUAAUACCGCAUACGACCUACGGGUGAAAGCAGGGGAUCUUCGGACCUUGCGCGAUUGAAUGAGCCGAUGUCGGAUUAGCUAGUUGGCGGGGUAAAGGCCCACCAAGGCGACGAUCCGUAGCUGGUCUGAGAGGAUGAUCAGCCACCCUGGAACUGCGACACGGUCCAGACUCCUACGGGAGGCAGCAGUGGGGAAUAUUGGACAAUGGGCGCAAGCCUGAUCCAGCCAUACCGCGUGGGUGAAGAAGGCCUUCGGGUUUUAAAGCCCUUUUGUUGGGAAAGAAAAGCAGCAGGUUAAUACCCCGCUGUUCUGACGGUACCCAAAGAAUAAGCACCGGCUAACUUCGUG